UAGAUAGUAAAAUAAGGCAGAUAAGUUAUCAUUGUUGCUAAGAUGCUAAUUAAUUUAAUAUUCACUGUUGUUGUUUUGACUAUGCAUUGUUUUUGUUUAGAUUUUGUAAACGGUAUGGGUAUGCCUUCAAGUUCAGACGACAUAGGUACUGGCGAGCACUUCAAGCCUUGCUUGGAAUGGAUCAAAUGCAAAUCAGGAGAUAAAGAUCUAGAUGAUGAGUUUUCUAGAUGCAUACAGAUGGGAGCAAAGGAGAAAACUGCGAAACUUAUUAAGCUUAUCGCAGAUUUUGCCGAAAAAGAGUGGUCAGAUAUACCACAAGUAGCUAAAGAUUACUGUGUCAUGGACGAAGAAAAGCAGAAUGACAUGUAUGCUGAAACUGUGCAGAUCAUAGUAGAGGAGUACUCAGAAUGCGCUCUGGAUUUAGUGAACAGACUUCAUGCUGAAAAAAAAUGCUGAUGACUCAAAUACUAUCAUCGGGCAUAAAUAUUGCUCAAUAAUGCAAACCUUGAACUUUUAUUACAGUUCCACCUUUAAAAUAUUUCAAAAUUGGUUACUUUUGGGAAAAUAAAUAAAAUCUAA